CUGCAAGGGUCUUGAAAACCAUUGGCCCAGGUUGCAGGACAGAAGGACUUUGCACAAAUUUUGUGUAGCAAGAUGUGACCUGCCACUGAAAAAAAUGUCAUUUAAUAUGUGACCCCUUUAAAGACGAGUCAAAUAAUCCUUGCAGUAGGAAAACACUAGGUUUUCCAGGUCAGGGGGGUACCUGCCUCUGUCAGCCUUGGGCCCCACCACUCUCAGCCUUGACCGACUGCUCUUGUGGUUAAGACGGCUCAAACAUAUCCCUCAGCACAUCACCAGUGCUCCCAGGUCACAGAAAAGAAAUAAAACAAUGCCAAAAAUGA